AGGAAAAGAAACUAACAAGGAUUCCCCUAGUAACGGCGAGUGAAGCGGGAAGAGCUCAAAUUUGAAAUCUGGUAGCCUUCGGUUGCCCGAGUUGUAAUCUAGAGAAGUGUUUUCCGUGCCGGCCCAUGUACAAGUCCCUUGGAACAGGGCGUCAUAGAGGGUGAGAAUCCCGUCCUUGACAUGGACCCCCGGUGCUUUGUGAUACACUUUCAACGAGUCGAGUUGUUUGGGAAUGCAGCUCAAAAUGGGUGGUGAAUUCCAUCUAAAGCUAAAUAUUGGCGAGAGACCGAUAGCGAACAAGUACCGUGAGGGAAAGAUGAAAAGCACUUUGGAAAGAGAGUUAAACAGUACGUGAAAUUGUUGAAAGGGAAACGAUUGAAGUCAGUCAUGCUCUUGGGACUUACCUCCCUUGAGUGGGGUCAACAUCAGUUUUGAUCGAUGGAUAAAGGCACGGGGAAGGUAGCACUCUCGGGUGAACUUAUAGCCUCGCGUCAUAUACAUUGAUUGGGACUGAGGAACGCAGCAUGCCUUAUGGCCGGGAUUCGUCCACGUACAUGCUUAGGAU
rnacentral:rRNA from 1 species